CAACUAUCUUGCCUGCAGCUCUGCAUUUAGGGACACCCAAAUUGGAAGAGGACUUACUGGUCCUUUCAAGGGGGAGACGGAGGCUUUCAAGGAUGCUGUGCUAAGAAGGGUCCCAGCAUUCAGCCUGAGCCCCAGGUUCUGCUCAGAAACACCAACCCACAGCUUUUGCAGGCCUGCAGAGACCAAGACACCUCACCACGCCCUCAAAGAGCCAGAGGAAUGUUGGACACUGUGAAACCGUAGAGGCGAGUCACCCCUGGGAACACAUAGGCCAGGAUACGCCGGUCAAGCUGGAACGCGAUCUCCCCAACGAUUCGGCCAUCCUUCUCAGCACCCGAAAAACUCUGGAUCUCUGGGUAACACAAGUGCCAUCCUGACCAUUUCAAGGCACCAAAGUACCUUCCCCCCACCCCCACCCCCACUGCCAGAGUACAUGAAAAUCUUUAAAAAGCUGAGGUAUUUGGACCUGAAGAGGGGACCAUCCCUCUCUGUUUGCUCUCAGCAUGUUCCCCUGAGACCUGGGCACAUAGCUCCUUCUCUGUCUCUGUCUGAGAAGCCAAAAGUCAUGUGAAACUGUAGAAGACAGUGGGGCCCCUGGGAAAGAGGGUACCCAAGUCUAUCCAGAGAGAGCGGGGCUCUCCCCUGUUGUUCUCAGAUGCUGUUCUGCCACCCCACCAACUCAGCCUUCUCUGAGGACAGCAGGAGACAUCACAGCCUGGAUCUGGAAAGAGCCAGCCUCUUCCAGUCUACAGCAUUGCCACCAAAGACAGGCCAAUGUCUGAAAGGUCAGUAUCAGCCCUAUCUCGCCCAUGUCUGUGGAGAGGAUAGAUGGGCUGACAGAAGAGUCUCUUUUUAUUCUUCUUCUUCGACUUCUCGGGACUACCCUGCACCCCCCUGAAAACUGCUCCCAAAUAACUCCUCUCUAUACAACAGCUCCUGGUGUCGUCAUAGAAAUCAUUAUUAAGCAAUGGAGUCCGUAUCCAUAGCCUUUGAAAACCUCGUGCUCUUUGGAAAAUGAACCUCAUCUGAAUUUAAAAGGCCUGUAGAAAACACUCUUCUAUCUACAGGGUCCGUGUUGGCCACUUACACUUGGAUGCGUGUAAGCUGUACAGUAGCUCUCGGUUCAAUUCCCACAUUACAGAGCCCAGGAUGGCAGCACAAGUGACUUAGCCUAGGGAGCCCCACGUGCUACACCCCCCACACACAUGCUGAUCUCAUUUAGAGGCAUUACCCCUGACUGAGCUGCACACGUCCAUUCUGACAGAAGACAGAGGACAAUAUGCUAACACUCAGGCAACACCUGAGACUCACACCACUGACAGGAUCUCAGUUUGGUAAGGUCCUGUGCGUCUGACCCAAAGGCUCCCACAUUAUUGAAAAUAAUGCCACAUGGCUCAGAAAAUCCAGGUCCUGUGUGAGUUAUGAUUGUUCAACACCCACACUCAAGACACUGAUAACCACAUAGAGACAUGGACCCUGGACCCUCAUCCCUGCUGGAGGUGCCUUGUGACCUUAAGCUUUUGAGAGGUGACCCAGAAUGACUUGUUAUCCUCCUGACCAUCAUGGGGACACUAGUGGGCAGGCCCCAGGGCUAGUUCUGCCUAUAUGACCUUGGUCAAGCGGUCGUCCAUCAGGUAUCAAGUUCUGAGCCAGGGUCUGUGAUACACACUAACUAGACAUUACUGUGCUGAAAAGCAUGUAUAACUGUGAAUACCAGUGAGUGAGACAACCAGGAAGAAGCUUAGAUAGACAGGAAAAACAGGAGCCUCCAACUUGGACUCACAGAAUAGGGAUCAGGGCAGAUGAGAAACCAGGCCGUUGUUGUAUAUAAUUGGGCACUUGGAAGUUGCAUCAGCUGGCCCGUCCCUUGCAGGGUCAGCCUUUCCGACCAGUGCUUUCAGAAGCACUGUCACUGCCAGACAGCUCAGAGAGGUUGAGGACACAUCUCCUGCCCUCCCGCAGAGUCCCAGGUGGCAGAAGCCAAAGACUUUGGGUUCUUGGUACCUGCAGAGCUAUACUCUCUCCAGCGUCUUCUGAGGAAAACACCCAGCGGGCAUAGACCAGUAUAGAGAGUGAACUUUGCUAUUCUCUGUGACCUUGGCUCAGCUACUUGGAAGAAGAGAUCGCUCUCAAAGUGACCCUUGUGACAAGUAGUGUCCUUCCAAGCAUAGGAAACCAGCAAGCAGCCAGGCCAACAGCCCUCAGAUGUGCACCCUGCUUUCAUUUCUUAACUUUGGAACAGUCGGUUCGCCCAUGUGAGAACCCUCAGAGGGUCCCAGUACAGCUGAGGCUGGGGUCACCUGAUUGCCCAGUCAAUUAAAAAUCCUUUAUCAGAACGCAACUUAUAUACUAUAAGCCCUCCCUCUUUCAAGCAGCUGAUUCUAUGAUCACUAUUAUACACAGAGAGUCUUACAGCCAUUACCACUAUCUCUUGCCAGAAGUUUCCAAGACCUCCCAAAGCAAACGAUUCUAUUCCCAGUCGCUCUUCAAUCUCCAGCCCUUGUGACUACCACUCUCAUGGAUUUAUCAAGGAUGGGCAUGUCACAUAGGUGGAGCUACACAGUGGGCCCCCUUUUACAUCUGACAUCAUCCAGUUAGCAUGUUUCCAGGGCCCAUCGUUGUAGCAUGCCAGCGAUUCAUUAUUUCUAUUGGCGUUUGAAUAAUACCCCAUCAUAUAAACAAGCAAUAUUGUAUUCACCUGCCUGUCAGCUGAUGGGUGUUUGGGUUGCUUGCCUCUUUGGACUAUUAUGAAUGAAGCCUUAGUGGACACCAGUGUCAAAGUUUCUGUGUGAACAGAUGUUUCUGUUCCCUAGGAUGUCUGGUUCAUAGGAUCUUUGAGGAUAUGCCAGACUCUCUUCCUCAGUCAGCUAUCCUAUCUUGCAUUCCCAUCCGUACAUCACUUCAUCUUACACCACUCUUGUGCAGUUGUUUUAUGGCAGAUGGAGCUGGGGCACGGAAUCCCUUUUGGACUCUCCUCACAUUGUUAACGAUGCAUAGUGACCAAUCUGCCCAAGCCUUCUGCAUAUCUUUUAAAGACCAUCUUGCCGUAUAGCCCAAGCUGGUCUAAUACUAGAGAUUCUUUUGUCUCCAUCGUGGUCAAACAACUGUUCCACAGGGGUUGCAUAUGAGACAUCCUACACAUCAGAUAUUUAUAUUGUGAUUCAUAACAGUAGCAAAGUUACAGUUAUGAAGUAACAGCAUAAAUAGUUGUAUGAUUGGGGAGUCACCACAAACUGAGGAACCAUAUUAAGGGGUCCUGGCAUUAGGAAAAUUGAAAACCAUUGUUCUCAAUGCUGACAGUCCCGGGGUGCACCGUCACCCCUGCAGCCUUGUCCAUUUUUAAUUGGAUUGUCUAGAUCUUUACUAUUGAAUGCAAGGGGAUUUUGUUGCAUUUUUUUAGUUAGUGUUUCAGACAGGAUCAUACUCUGUAGCCUAGGCUGGCCUAGAAAUCACUAUCUAGCCCAGGUUGACUUGAAAUUCAAAGCAAUCCUCCUAUGACCCUGAGAUUAUAAAACUGAGCCACCACAUCCUUCAAGAGUCCUUAUAUAUCCUGGAACUAUUCUUUCUUUGGGGGUGGGGGUGGGGUUGUUCAAGACAGGGUUUCUCUGUAUAGCCAGGGCUGUCCUGGAACUCACUCUGUAGACCAGGCUAGCCUCGAACUUAGAAAUCCACCUGCCUCUGCCUCCUAAGUGCUGGGAUGAAAAGCGUGUGCCACCACUACCUAACUCUGGAACCAUUCUUAUACCAAUACAUGACUUACAAAUAUUUUCUACAGCAG
rnacentral:lncRNA from 1 species